rnacentral:rRNA from 1 species
AUUGAACGCUGGCGGCAUGCCUUACACAUGCAAGUCGAACGGUAACGGGCCUUCGGGUGCCGACGAGUGGCGAACGGGUGAGUAAUGUAUCGGAACGUACCUUUCAGUGGGGGAUAACGUAGCGAAAGUUACGCUAAUACCGCAUAUUCUGUGAGCAGGAAAGCGGGGGAUCGCAAGACCUUGCGCUGAUUGAGCGGCCGAUAUCAGAUUAGCUAGUUGGUGAGGCAAAGGCUCACCAAGGCGACGAUCUGUAGCGGGUCUGAGAGGAUGAUCCGCCACACUGGAACUGAGACACGGUCCAGACUCCUACGGGAGGCAGCAGUGGGGAAUUUUGGACAAUGGGGGCAACCCUGAUCCAGCCAUGCCGCGGGAGUGAAGAAGGCCUUCGGGUUGUAAAGCUCUUUCGGCCGGGAAGAAAUCGUAUGGGUUAAUACCCUGUGCGGAUGACGGUACCGGACUAAGAAGCACCGGCUAACUACGUGCCAGCAGCCGCAGUAA